GGUCAAGAGCAUCCAGUAGUGAAAGAGAAGAGAAAAAAAAACCCAAAAAACAGAAAAGCCCUUAAUCAUACAGUAACUAGGAUCCAGAACUCAGAGUGAGGAGAUGGCAAAACAGACCCUGAAAGUAAAAUUAAAGCUAAGGAAUAUAGUAGAGCCUUACUUGCCUAUG